GACGAACGCUGGCGGCGUGCCUAAUACAUGCAAGUAGAACGCUGAAGGAGGAGCUUGCUUCUCUGGAUGAGUUGCGAACGGGUGAGUAACGCGUAGGUAACCUGCCUGGUAGCGGGGGAUAACUAUUGGAAACGAUAGCUAAUACCGCAUAAGAGUAGAUGUUGCAUGACAUUUGCUUAAAAGGUGCAAUUGCAUCACUACCAGAUGGACCUGCGUUGUAUUAGCUAGUUGGUGGGGUAACGGCUCACCAAGGCGACGAUACAUAGCCGACCUGAGAGGGGGAUCGGCCACACUGGGACUGAGACACGGCCCAGACUCCUACGGGAGGCAGCAGUAGGGAAUCUUCGGCAAUAGACGGAAGUCUGACCGAGCAACGCCGCGGGAGUGAAGAAGGUUUUCGGAUCGUAAAGCUCUGUUGUAAGAGAAGAACGAGUGUGAGAGUGGAAAGUUCACACUGUGACGGUAUCUUACCAGAAAGGGACGGCUAACUACGUG
rnacentral:rRNA from 1 species